GGUGCCGUGGCCGAGUGGUUAGGCAGAGGUCUGCAAAACCUCGUACGGCGGUUCGAGUCCGUUCGGCACCUCCA
rnacentral:tRNA from 1 species